rnacentral:rRNA from 1 species
UACAGAGGGUGCGAGCGUCAAUCGGAAUUACUGGGCGUAAAGGGCGCGUAGGUGGUGAGUUAAGACUGUUGUGAAAUCCCUGGGCUUAACCUAGGAACUGCAACGAUGACUGAUUCGCUUGAGUAUUGUAGAGGGUAGUGGAAUUUCCGGUGUAGCGGUGAAAUGCGUAGAGAUCGGAAGGAACACCAGUGGCGAAGGCGGCUACCUGGACAAAUACUGACACUGAGGCGCGAGAGCGUGGGGAGCAAACAGG